GUCCUCCUUACAUGCUGAAACAAGCAUGGGUUCUGUGUUAGACACACAUAACCUCAGAAAAAAAGCAGAUACUUGCUACUGAGAAGGCAGCCCUGGAAAGGACUCUGCUGACUAAAGGACCUGAACUUCAAGGAGCCUGUGAGGAGCCUGCCUUGAAUCUGCAGAGGGGCAACCAAAGCACGUUGAACAUCAUCUCUGAUGUACUCACUGAGUGUUCCUGAGCAGCACCAGCAGCUGCUCAGCGCUCCCCUCUCUCUGCACUGACAAGGACCUUGCAGCUCAAUAUCCUGAAUUCCUGUUUCUGCAUGCCUGGAAAUCAAGAGGCCUGGAAAAGCCAGGAAAGUGCUGUGUACCUGAACACCAGGAGCCUGACUGCUGCCUUUGCAGAUCUCACUGAAGCCCUCAGCCGGUGCUGAAGUUGCCGCAAUCGACUUCUCCAAUCCCACGGUGAUGGCACUGACAUUUACCUGCGAGCUGCCCCAUAAACCUGAAGUGGUUUUGAGUCAUUUGCAACAACAGCUAUCAAACAAGCUUUUUACAAGUCUCACAUUCUCCCCUGUGAUGACUGCAACCCUUUUCUGCAUCUAGUGAAGGGAAAGCCACAGUCAGUGAGUACCCUGGAAAGCUGAGAGAAAUCCAUGUAGUAAACCAGAGUGUUACAUCUCUGCUGGUUAUUAAAUACUAAACAACUUUA